rnacentral:misc_RNA from 1 species
GCUUACAGAAAUGAUGCAAAACUCGAAAUGUGACCAACGAUUUGAUCGAGAUCAAGUGUUGUAUAUAUACACAUAUACGGUUUAAUUAACUGAUUGUUAAUGUAUUGAGAGUGUGGAUAUACCGUUCACUCUCGGAAAGCUGGUGGAAAUCCGCUAAAACGCUUUUCAGUGCCUCAAAUUAGCAAGGGCUUCCUAGGAAAAACGAGUUGUUAUCUUUAUUUCAUUUAGUGCUUUAAAAAAGUUUCGUAGUAUUAAAAGUGUUUAGCUUUAAAAUGAGUGCAAAAAGUAAGUCCAAAUUUAGCUAUCAAGAUAAUUUAAAAAUUGCAGAAAGUUUGUUACAAAGUAAAGAUGAAGAUAACGAAGAACUUGAAAGUAUUAGUGAUAUUGAAGAAGAUGUUGUUGAAACGAGAGAUGAACAUACGGAUACCGAGCAAGAGGUUGACUCAAGUGAUUCCGAAAGCACCAGUUUCGAUGAUAAGUAUUAUAUUGGGCGAGAUAAUGUUUCUAUAUGGGAAAAGUUUAAUUCUGAGUUUAGUCCUGUUUGGGAACAGAAUAAUGUGGCCUAUGUACCUGGUGUUGCAGACAAAGCAAAGCUUGCUAAAACCCCUAAAGAAUGUUGGGAGUGCUUCUUUGAUGACAAGAUACUUUCUAUAAUUGUUGACUGCACAAACGAGAAAAUUUCGGAGAGUCGACUAAACUAUAAGCGAGAAAGGGAUGCUAGACCAACAGAUAAACUUGAAAUUAAAGCUUUGCUGGGUAUAUUGUAUGUGUGUGCAGCUAGAAGAGACAAUCACACUUCUACUAGAGAUAUCUGGACGCUUGAUAAAACUGGUUUAGAACUAUGCCGACUUAUCAUGUCUGAGAAACGUUUUAGAUUUCUUCUGUAUUGUUUGAGAUUUGAUUGCAAAAGUGAUCGUGAGGAGAGGAGAAAAAUAGACAAUUUAGCAGCAGUUAGAGAUGUAUUUACGUUAUUUGUAAAAAAUUGCCAAGAAUCGUACAUCCCUGGAGAAUUCUGUACAUUAGAUGAGAAACUCGAACCUUUUCGAGGAAAUUGCCGUUUCAAAGUAUUCUUUCCAAAUAAACCGUGUAAAUAUGGCCUUAAGCUGUUUGCUUUAGUUGAUACUCAUGUGUACUACACAGUGAAUCUCGAAGUGUAUGCUGGCCAGCAACCUCCAGGUUUAUAUGAUGUAAGUAAUAAUCCUAUUGAUGUAGUAAAGCGUCUCAGUUCAAUUAUUUUGGGCAGUGGACGAAAUUUAACACUUGAUAGUUGGUUUACUUCUCUUGAAGUAGCCAAAUAUUUAUAUAAAAAAAAUGUAACAAUGGUUGGAAGUAUCAAUAAAAAUAAACCUGAAAUUCCUGUAAAUUUUACUGUAUCGAAGUCCCGACCAGUGGGAUCAUCUUUAUAUGGCUUCAUGAAGAAUUGUACUCUGGUUUCAUAUGUAACUAGAAAAGAUAAAGUUGUAUUAGCUCUCUCAACAAUGCACCAUGAUUCAAGCAUUGUUCCUUCUUCAGGUGAAAAAGCCAAACCUGAAAUUAUAGCAUUUUAUAAUGCUACUAAAUCUGCUGUAGAUACUGUCGAUCAAAUGUGCAAUUCGUAUAGUGUUUCUAGAAUAACAAGUAGCUGGCCAAUGGUUAUUUUUUUCAGUAUGCUUAAUGUGGCAGCUGUGAAUGCUCAAAUAAUUUUCCUGAGCAAUAAUAUGAAUGAUCGACUAACACGUUGUGGUUUCCUUAAAAAUUUAGCACGUAGCCUAGCAGAUGAUUAUUUACGCGUGCGGUCACAAUGUACUUCGUUGCCUGGCAGCCUCAAACGGGGCCUGCAGGAUCUAUUUCAAGAAAAAGAAGAGUCCAUUGGGCAAGGAAAAGUCCAUUAUGCGGAAACGAAACCUGUCAUAAAAAGACAAAGGUGCUAUGUUUGUCGUGGUUCAAGAAGCAGAUUAACUCGGUAUAGAUGUCGAAAUUGUGAAAAAUUUCUGUGUUUGCAACAUGCUGAGAUAAUUUGUUCAGACUGUUGAUCCUUUUUUUACAGUUAGCUGCUGUUCAAGAAGGAACUUUUGCUCAUUUACAGCAUCUUUAGAGGAUUCUUUUUGUUAACCUGAAGGUAAAAUUCUGCCCCUGUUAAAUGCAGGCAAAGAACUCUGAAAACACUGUCUCACCAGGCGCAGGAACCAGGGGGAAGGCUGCCUUUAUUUAAGGUAAGCUUUUGUAAACACAUCACAUUAUGUAUUUGAAAGAGAAAUUCCAAACAGGAUCAAAUUCUGUAAUUCAGAAUCCUUGUACUACUGUAGGCAGUAAAGUUAAAUUCAAUAUGGCGAACAACCGACAGCGAAGUAGCGUGUGGGUAUUAGAAUUUCAUUUAAAAAAAACAGUAUCAUGGCGGUGCAGCAUGCUUUCUAGCUCAAGUUUAAAGUGAAUCCAUCUACAAACAAGUCAGGAUGCAUCUGUGACCAGAGAAAGAGACAUUUGGACCAACCAGCAGUCUCAAAUCCAGUUGUUGAUCACGUCAAACACUUUUCCAGAGCAUGAAAAAAAUCAACGUUAAUAGUUUAUAAGAUAAAUGAUUACUUUCUUCAACAAAAAUGGGACUCCAUUCAUUUGUCGCAUUGGACCAAAUGACAAGGUGUUUUUUAAGUAAGUGGCCUUCGUAAUCACCGGACAUUACCGUUUGUGCUCUUUUUCAUAUGGGGCAUGACGCAGACCGAUGCCUUCACCUUUCCCGCUAUGGCUGAAGUAAAGGAAUGCGUCACUGAAGCUGUAGACUGAAUGAAACUGGAUAUAUUUCCAGCUUGAUCACUAUAUCUGUGUUUGCCGGGUAGUUAGUGGAGCGGACAUCGAAUGUUUGUAAUGAACUGAUACCACAUGAAACUUGGUGAGUUGAUCAGCCUGUAUAAACAAAAGUAAAAGAAUAUUUUAAUAAAUUUUUAUUUAU